GACGAACGCUGGCGGCGUGCUUAACACAUGCAAGUCGAACGGAAAGGCCCUGCUUUUGUGGGGUGCUCGAGUGGCGAACGGGUGAGUAACACGUGAGUAACCUGCCCUUGACUUUGGGAUAACUUCAGGAAACUGGGGCUAAUACCGGAUAGGAGCUCCUGCUGCAUGGUGGGGGUUGGAAAGUUUCGGCGGUUGGGGAUGGACUCGCGGCUUAUCAGCUUGUUGGUGGGGUAGUGGCUUACCAAGGCUUUGACGGGUAGCCGGCCUGAGAGGGUGACCGGCCACAUUGGGACUGAGAUACGGCCCAGACUCCUACGGGAGGCAGCAGUGGGGAAUAUUGCACAAUGGGCGGAAGCCUGAUGCAGCAACGCCGCGUGCGGGAUGACGGCCUUCGGGUUGUAAACCGCUUUCGCCUGUGACGAAGCGUGAGUGACGGUAAUGGGUAAAGAAGCACCGGCUAACUACGUGCCAGCAGCCGCGGUGAUACGUAGGGUGCGAGCGUUGUCCGGAUUUAUUGGGCGUAAAGGGCUCGUAGGUGGUUGAUCGCGUCGGAAGUGUAAUCUUGGGGCUUAACCCUGAGCGUGCUUUCGAUACGGGUUGACUUGAGGAAGGUAGGGGAGAAUGGAAUUCCUGGUGGAGCGGUGGAAUGCGCAGAUAUCAGGAGGAACACCAGUGGCGAAGGCGGUUCUCUGGGCCUUUCCUGACGCUGAGGAGCGAAAGCGUGGGGAGCGAACAGGCUUAGAUACCCUGGUAGUCCACGCUGUAAACGGUGGGUACUAGGUGUGGGGUCCAUUCCACGGGUUCCGUGCCGUAGCUAACGCUUUAAGUACCCCGCCUGGGGAGUACGGCCGCAAGACUAAAACUCAAAGGAAUUGACGGGGCCCCGCACAAGCGGCGGAGCAUGCGGAUUAAUUCGAUGCAACGCGUAGAACCUUACCUGGGUUUGACAUGGAUCGGGAGCGCUCAGAGAUGGGUGUGCCUCUUUUGGGGUCGGUUCACAGGUGGUGCAUGGCUGUCGUCAGCUCGUGUCGUGAGAUGUUGGGUUAAGUCCCGCAACGAGCGCAACCCUUGUUCACUGUUGCCAGCACGUUAUGGUGGGGACUCAGUGGAGACCGCCGGGGUCAACUCGGAGGAAGGUGGGGAUGACGUCAAGUCAUCAUGCCCCUUAUGUCCAGGGCUUCACGCAUGCUACAAUGGCUGGUACAGAGAGUGGCGAGCCUGUGAGGGUGAGCGAAUCUCGGAAAGCCGGUCUCAGUUCGGAUUGGGGUCUGCAACUCGACCUCAUGAAGUCGGAGUCGCUAGUAAUCGCAGAUCAGCAACGCUGCGGUGAAUACGUUCCCGGG
rnacentral:rRNA from 1 species